ACUUAAAGUCAAACAUAUUCUGUUCAACUUAUUUUUUAUAUUUGCAUUACAGAUCAGCUGAAAUAAAAAUCAGUCUACAGUUCAUGGGUGAAAUAAUCUUUUGACAAUGUGAGUUAUCAAUACAAGCUGAAUAUUCCACGGUGACAUGUGAACUCAAGAAAAGAACAUGAGCAGCCAUUCAUUCUUAAUUAUAUGUACAUGAAAGAUGUUACAAGAUUUUUUUUUCAUUAACUGUACAUUUCUGGCUGCUUUACUAAUUUAUUUUAACAAGGAAAGUGAGACUUGAGGAAUGCACAUAAAAAGUCUGAUAAAUUGCAGGUGUUAAUUAUGGCUGCUGCAAGAGGGAGAUUAUGGUAAAGUCUCCCUUAAAUUGAGCUUCAUUUUAAUUUCAUGGGGAAAUUCAUGUAGUUUUCUUGGCAACAAGACCAUGACCUUCUUCUGACAUACUUUCUGACUUUCUAUUUUUCUCUAAAGUCCUGAGAUUCAAUGGCAUUCUCCUUUCCAAAUAUUAAGCAGGUCCAGUUCUGCUUAUCUUUUGAGCCCAGACAAAGUUGGCCAGAUGCUGUACCUGCUGAGAGUCCAUGAAGGAAGGUGAAUUAAAAAUUAGCAGUAUGGAAGACACUAAAAAUGGCACUUCUUGGGUUUGGUUCAGAGAAAGCCAAAGAUUUCAAGCAUCACCGACAGGAUGCCUCAGUACUGUCAUUGAUUAAGACUGUCCACUGUCUACGGCGACCCAAGAAUAAUUGCAGUUAUGAACCAAAACGUAGCCGCAGUUACUAAAAGGAGUUCCAUAAUCUUUUCCCAGGCACUUGGAUAAAGUUUCCUGUUUUCCAUAACAACAACAAUUAGAAAUUGAAGCUGGUACACACCAUGGAAAAUACACAAGGGUCAGAAUCAGCUGAUCCAAGAUAACCUGUAGUCUGCUCGCCUGUCAAGAUGUGGAAAUGUGCUGGCAUUCCAGCUGAAGACAUCAUUAGGAGUGAGAAAAUGCUCAAGGCCGUUUUUCAAAGUGGGCGCUGAAAGAGAUGCUUUCCUUCUUUAACUCCAGGGGAUGCUAAGAGCUGCCCCAGCAGACAGGUAUUGUAAGAUUGGAUGAUGUGCACAGAUGUUGCAGAGGCAAAACUUGAAAUGAGCAUGUUUGAAACAAAGUCUCCCAAAGCUGUUGGGUCUAUGGUCUGCAGCUCCUCCUCCCAAGCACCAUAGAAGAACUGGAUUGAUAGGGCUUGUCCUGUGUUACUGAUAACCAAGAUUUGAUCCAUAAAAGUUGGCAGCUUUGUAAGCAAUGGGAAAGGAGCAGUUUUACUUUAACUCUAGCCAUUGAAUCUGAAGAGUAAUUGCCACCCUGGAAAGGCACUCAAGACAAUGAACACAAUCCUUCACUCUGCUUCAUUUUAUCAUCAAAAUGAGCUCCCCAAGAUAUUUUAGACUAAGAGAGAUAAGUAUUGCUGUCAUCUAACAAGCACACUCUGUUGUCUCAACAUUUCUUAUUUAGUGGAAUCAAACUUGAAGAACAAAUAAAGAUAUCAGAUAUGAAGUAUAGAUAAAAGGCAGUAAAGAAAGAACAGCAAGACUGUUGCAUCUUUUCAGCUUUGGAUUAAGUGAUGCUACAAAUGACAAGCAUUCUUCUCUGAGCAUUUAUUUCUGUAAUUUAAAGCAACAGAAUGUUAAAAAAAAUGCAUCUGAUUCAGUGAUCAUAUAUAUGCUUCUCAAAAUGUAUACAGUCCAUUGAAUAUGAUGUUAUUGUUAGUUAAUGUUGCUAUUUAAUGACUUGUCCAAUUGCAAAUGAAAUUCAGUUGUUUUUACAGUGCAGGUAUCAGGAUUUUAAUCUUGGCUAGCAUUACUUGUAAUAGGAAAUGAACUGGGAGUUUCUCAAUGGAACAUAGAAUCAUCCAUGAACUGUACUGAUAUAAGUCAAAUGAAACAAAAAUAACAAUAUGAGAACUGUAAUAAAUAUAUGUCAUUUGGUCCUUAUAUUAUGUUUCACUCUAUUAUACAGAAUGCUGUAUCUUGAGUAACUUCUUGCCUGAUUUGUAGACCAAUAUGAAUCCACAAAAAAGCUGCUGAAUAUUUCAAAUUCCUUUUAUAGUUGUGAUUUCAUAUUUUCCUUUUAAACAAGUUUUCAUCACAAAAGAUGAAUAUACCAAAAAAAACCCCACCAAAACAAAAACAAAGGAACAAUUCUGUUUAUGUUUAAGAAAGUUUUCAGUACUUUGCAGAAAGUUUUAAAUGGCAUUGCUUUUAUAAUAUUGCAAUAAAGGAGGAGAAAAACUAGAAUGCUUCAAAGAUUUGCCAAAUAUAUGAAAAUUAAAGUGACAAAAAUAACUUAGGCAAUUGUAUUAUACAUCAAAUAGUUAUAUGUUUUUCCCCAAAAAUUAGUUUUCAAGGCAAUUCAGUUGGAGAUAGGCAUGUAUUUUAUGUAUAUAUGUAUAUAUGUUUACACGUGUAUAUAUAUUUGAAUUGCAAAUGAAAAUUAAAAGCUAUAUUUAUCAGGAUAGUCAAUGAAAGCAAAUCAGAAUGAACAGAAAUACUUCUCACAUAGUAGAAACCUAUUUUUGCAUCACCUCUGGUAAUCCUAUAAUACAGAAUGUUUAACGUGUCUUCUGGAUAAGUUGAGUUGUCAUUUCUAGAAUUCCCAACCAACAUAGAACAGUGUUGCCUAAUUUACAAUUUUUCAGUUUUAACUGGAAUUGUUGAGAUUUGUUCAAAAGUACAAACUUCAUAACUAUGCAAGUUUACAAUCCCACCAAAAGGGACUUUUCACUAACACUCAUUUUUAAUAAUAAUACAAUUUAUUACUUAAUAGAUUGUGAUUGAAUUUUAUUUUUAUUAUUGUUUUAGUUUACUUUCUUAACCUUACUGCUUUCUUAGCCAAUUUAAGACAUUUUUUAUGGUUGAGAAUGUGGAUAUAAAUGAUCACACAAAGCAAAAGUAAAAGUAAAAAACAAAAGCCAGGAGAUUGUACAUUUUUUUUUAUUGACUAGAUACAUAAGUCCAAUUGUUAUCCUCCAAAUGUUAUCUUAGGGCAUCUGUAUACAUUUCCUAUUAUUCUGUAGCAGAAGAGAAAGCUCAGUUUCAAGUCUGAUGAACUAUUUUGAGUUUGAAAUGGUUUGGAUUUGAAAAGGUUUACACACCAUUGCCACCUUGUCUUUCUAAGUAUUGGGUAAAAGGGAAAAGAAUCUUUGGGUUCUUUGCAGAUAUAAUUACUUUAGAGAAUGAUUUUCUGCACAAUUCUUGCUAAAAACCAUGAAAGACUCUGUACACAAGCACACAUACUGUGCUUGGUUACAGAAUAACUAACAGAUGCAAGCUGAAAUAAACUGUGGCCAAACAUGUACAACUGACUCUGUGUUAACCCACAAUCCACCUACACAGCCACAGCAUCUCCUGUCAAUUAUUUGACUCAAGGUUUUAAUAAUCACUUUUCCCUUGAAAUGAGCAGGAUUUGCAGAUAAUUAUGCAGUACAUGCAUAUUAUCACAUUCACUGUUGUAGUUAUAUUUUGGGGCUCUCAUAACAUAUAUGUGAGAUUGCCAGUGUUUGCAUAUGAAUGCUGAUGUAUUCCAAGUCUGGGAUUUGUAUUUUAAUAAAUAGUAACAAGAGUCUCAAUUUACUCAUCAUAGAAAGAAGAAAAAAAAAACCUAAUUAAAACGUAGUCGUAUCUAAGCCAAUUUGUAUGUGAUAACAUGCAUUUCUUUGUAAGCGUUGCUUAUUAUUCAUACAAUCUUUUUUUGGGGGGGGGCAUUUAACUGUUCUGGUAAAAUAAGAUUGUGUGAACA